rnacentral:rRNA from 1 species
CCUACGGGAGGCAGCAGUGAGGAAUAUUGGUCAAUGGACGGAAGCCUGAACCAGCCAAGCCGCGUGCAGGAUGAAGGCCCUACGGGUUGUAAACUGCUUUUAUACGGGAAUAACGCGCCUUACGUGUAGGGCUUUGCAUGUACCGUAUGAAUAAGGACCGGCUAAUUCCGUGCCAGCAGCCGCGGUAAUACGGAAGGUCCGGGCGUUAUCCGGCUUUAUUGGGUUUAAAGGGCGCGUAGGCGGUAUGUUAAGUUUGCUGUGAAAUGUCCGGGCUCAACCCGGGCCGUGCAGCGCGAACUGGCGUGCUUGAGUCCGCGGAAAGCAGGCGGAAUGCGUCGUGUAGCGGUGAAAUGCGUAGAUAUGACGAAGAACCCCGAUUGCGAAGGCAGCUUGCUGCAGCGGAACUGACGCUGAUGCUCGAAAGCGCGGGUAUCGAACAGGAUUAGAUACCCGGGUAGUC